rnacentral:misc_RNA from 1 species
AUUAUUAAACUUCAUAAUUUAAAUGCUACUAAAUUUCCUAUUUUAUCUAAUUUUCUAAUUCCAAUUUAACUUGAACUUUAACACAAAUAACUAAACCUAUAUGGUUAAAUAAUUUUAUGAAGAUGUCUGCUACACAAUCCCCUUCUCCUAUUGCAUCAGUCCAUUUUGGCUAUUGGAAAAAAUUUGUCCUUAUAGUCAAUGCCCUCAAUUUGAUUAUAUCCCUUUGCCACCAACCUUGCCUUGAAUUUGUUAAAGGUUUAGUUCAGUUGAGUUGAGUUGAGUUGAGCCAAAAUAGAGGCUGUUCGAAUUUUUAUUGCACUAAGAAAUGGGUCAUAUUUCAAGUUGAUAUUAACAAUGUGAUUUUCACAUGGGUAAUCGAUUGAAUAAGUCUAUAUGUUACCAAUAUAGGGAUAUGUUAAAGCCUUGCUUGCAUAGGUUUGCUUGCUCAAGAGAUCUCUCUAUGGUCUUAAGCAAGUUGCUAGAUAAUGGAACAUUGAAUUCACCAACCUUUUUUUUUACUUUGGCAUUUUCUCAUUCACAACAUGACCAUUGCCUAUUCACUAGGUUUAUUGCUACUGAGUUCUUAGCUUUACUCAUUCAUGUUGAUGAUGUUAUCAUUAUAGGCACCUCUAUUGAUGCUAUCGAUGAUGUUAAGCAUUCACUUAUGAUAAAUUCACUAUCAAUGCCAAGCAUGCUACCAGUUCUCUACCUACAGGCUUCAUAUUUCUAUUGAUAAUGGUGAUCUUCUUCUAGAUCCUAAUAAGUUUCAAAGACUCAUAGGUCAUUUGUUGUACAUUAAUCUGACUAGGCCUGACAUUAGUUAUGUAGUAAAGCAUUGAGCCUGUUCAUGUUAGCUCCUAGCAAGCCUCAUUCGACAACAAUUAUUCAUGUUGUAAAAUAUCUAAAAAUCUUGUCCUUAAAAGGGUUUAUUUUUCCUUGUCAACAACAACUUGCAACUCAUGCUAGCGUUUUAGCUUAAAACUUGACUUGAAACAGAAACAAAGCAUGGGGUGCUUUUCUGGUGAUUGGAUUUACACUGAGGACUUGUCCAAUGUUGAGGAGCAGUUUAGUGGUGGUGGCAUGUGAAAAGGAAAGGUGAUGAAUGGUGCUUUAAUAGAGGGAAAAUGUGGAUUUAGUUCCAUUCAAGUUCUUGCUAAGAACCAAAACCGAACUAAACAUAGUCAAAAUUUUUGUGGUCUCUUUUUUUUAUUAUUAUUUUAAUUUUAUUUUGGUUUUAGUGUAAUUCAGUUUUCAGUUUUUUUGUCCGAUUUGGAUUUGAUCCAGUUCUCAAUUCUUGAAUCAUCCUUUGAGUUUUAAAAUUAGUUGUUAUUUGAUUUUUUAUAUUUUUUCCCACAAUAUAUCUAUAAUGUAUUAAAUUAAUAUAAAAUA